CCGAGUUUACAACUCCCAAACCCCUGUGAACAUACCUUAACGUUGCUUCGGCGGACCACCCUCGCCUGACCGCGGGGGCCCGCCAGAGGACCCAAAACCCAAACUUAGUUUUUGUCUUGCAAAACGAACCUCUGAGUGGAUUUUAUAAAUCAAAUCA
rnacentral:misc_RNA from 1 species